rnacentral:rRNA from 1 species
UACGUAGGGUGCGAGCGUUAAUCGGAAUUACUGGGCGUAAAGCGUGCGCAGGCGGUUUGUUAAGUCAGCUGUGAAAGCCCCGGGCUUAACCUGGGAAUGGCGGUUGAAACUGGCGAACUUGAAUCUGGCAGAGGGGGGUGGAAUUCCACGUGUAGCAGUGAAAUGCGUAGAGAUGUGGAGGAACACCGAUGGCGAAGGCAGCCCCCUGGGCUGAGAUUGACGCUCAGGCACGAAAGCGUGGGGAGCAAACAGG